rnacentral:rRNA from 1 species
AUUGAACGCUGGCGGCAGGCCUAACACAUGCAAGUCGAGCGGAUGAAGGGAGCUUGCGCGGGGAGCCAGCGGCGGACGGGGGAGUAAUGCCUGUGAAUCUGCUGGGUUGGGGUGGAGAAUGUCUGGAAACGGGCGCUGAUACCGCAUACGUGGUGAGGGAGCAAGAUGGGGAGGGUCGGACCGCACGCGAGGAGAGGAGUGUAGGUCGGGUUAGCUAGUUGGUGGGGGAAAGGGCGGCCAAGGCGACGAUCCGUCACUGGUCUGAGAGGAUGAGCAGUCACACUGGAACUGAGACACGGUCCAGACGCCUACGGGAGGGAGCCGUGGGGAAUCUUGGACAAUGGGCGAAAGCCUGAUCCAGCCAUGCCGCGUGUGUGAAGAAGGUCUUCGGAUUGUAAAGCACUUUCAGUUGGGAGGAAGGGCCGUAAGUUAAUACCUUGCUGUUUUGAAGUUACCUAGAGAAUAAGCACCGGCCAACUUCGUG